CAUUUCUAUGGCAUCAUCUGCCACAGCAACUAGCACAUUGGUACUCAUGCAUACCCACUAAUAGAAAGGAUCAAUGGCACAUUCUUCACUGUGAAUAGUAAUUUAGUGAUCUGUUUCCCAGGAGUCUGAGCAAUAUAAGGCAUUUUUUUUUCAGGUUCUAACCCACUCCGCCAUCCCUACCUCUCCUUCUACCUUGCUCUGUUAAAUUGGAGCAUAAGAUUCCUGCUUUGCAUGAUAGGCAAUGCAAGCUUUAAGGUUCACAAACACAACAGUGACUGAGAGCAUUUCCUCUCCAUGAACCUUACAUUUGCAAUGCAUCCCCUCUUCCUGCUAUUGCUAUAACGUAUAUCAAUGCAGUGUUGAUCUCAAAUUGGUGUUAAAAUAAAAACCACAACUAAAACCAAACAAAGCACAUUUUUAUGUGCAGGUAAGAAAACAGUUAGAUAUUAGUAGUAGGUAUCUCUGGAUUUUUUUUUAUACUUUAUCAUUUCCUGUAUUUACUCAUUUCCUAUAAUAAGCAUAUAUUUCACAAUUUUUAAAGGUAUUAAUAUUUUAAAAAUACUUCUAAGAAUAAUGUAGAACUCUCCUGUAUGUGUGAAAUAAGUAUGUCCAGCAGAUGGCACAAAAUCCCUAAUCCAGAAUUAAAACAGUUAAAAAAACAAACAAACAAAAAAAACUUGCUACUUGAAGAAUGCCAUGUGAAGGGCAUGUAUCUUAGUGACCAGGAAUCAGCCAAAAUGGACACUGCUUCCAGAAUCUUCAUCUCCAUUAGGUAUGAUUUGUUUGUCUCUGCUAUAAUCAAAGGUGAGUCGUGUCAGAGGAAAGGAAGGGGCCUUUGUGAUAUGCAAGAUGUGUGGGACCUGCAGAGGCUGCAGGGCAAGUUGGACUGUGCAAAACAUUCUCGAAAAGUGGACAAGCUGUGUAUUAAUGCGGUGUCACAUCUGGAGAGGGCUUUGGAGCCCAUAUAGUCCAUGUGUUUUCAGACAAUGUUUUUACCAUUUUUUUUCCUAAAUAAACUUCAAUGUAUGAAACCAACAAAAGUGAAUCUCUCCUACUUAAAGCAGGGGAUGGGAUGGGAGGCAAGGGCCAUGCUGGUCCUUCUCUUUGUCCCAGCGUAGCCCCACCCCUUAUAGCUGACAUAGUCAAUAACUGGCUAUACUUAAUCAACAUUUAUGGAAACCAUAAAAUACUUCCACUCUUGGUUUUCCCUAGAGAAAACCCCUAAUGCAGUGGUUUCAUUUUACUGCUGAGAAAAGGGCUGCUCAGAGGAGAGUUGCAAAUUAAAAAUGGAAAAACAUAUAAAAAGCAAAAAAAAAAAAAAAGU
rnacentral:lncRNA from 1 species